AGCACAUGGCGUGCACCGUAGCGCACGAGGAAAACAGAAUAGAAGCGGAGUGAGGCAGCGAGCGCCUUCGAUCGUUUCCUUGUUCGCUUUCUAAGUCAUCGAAGAACCGUUUCUUUGAGAUCAAUAGCCGAAUGGAUAAAGGUGGGAUGGACGCGGCGCCUCCUCCUCCUCCUCGAUCCCCUGCAUCUCUCAGGUGGUCGAUCCUCCGCAAGUCGCUCCUCCGUCGUCCCUCCGCCGCACCAGAUGAGCCCUCGGAAGUGAACACCAAGAACGUAUCCAGGAAAAGAGGUGGUGGCUUUAACCUGAUCCCGUGUCACCCGGUUGACGAUAGCGAUUCAGUGGAAGUCGUAGAAGCUACCCUGCGGGCGAAAUAUCUCGUCGGUCCACGUGAUGUCUGCACACGCUACAAAUUACCUUUGGAGAAUGGUCCUGGACUUGUUAUGAUCCAAAGAAUGGAGGAUUGUGUUGACCUAAAUGAUUUUGAGAUCUCCACUAGAUUUGAUAUCGACACCACGGGGUUAGUUUGUAGUUGGCCUUCAGAAGAUGUCCUUGCUUAUUUUUGCGUAAAUCAUCCUUUUAUGUUCCGGUCCAAAAGAGUGAUUGAACUUGGAUCAGGUUAUGGGUUAGCUGGAUUGGCUAUUGCUGCAAGUUCAGAUGCUCAAGAGGUGGUAAUUUCUGAUGGGAACCCAAAUGUUGUUGAUUAUAUUCAGCAUAACAUAAGUCUCAAUGCUCAAGUUUUUGGAGCUACAAAAGUACAAUCAAUGAUCUUGCAUUGGAAUCAGGAUCUAGUUUCUGAUGUGUUGAGUUCCUUUGAUGUUGUUGUUGCAAGUGACUGCACUUUCUUCAAGCAAUUUCACGAAAGCCUUGCGUGUACAGUCAAGUCUCUCUUGAAACGUUCAGAGGUCUCUGAAGCCAUUUUUCUGAGUCCUAAGAGAGAGUUGGAUGUGCAGAGUUCUAGCACCAGGAGAUAAAGUUUUGGAAAGUCGAGGACUAAACAGGCAAAGAUUGGCAGACAAACCAUUUCCAAGCAUCAUGAUGCUUCAACCAGGACCAACUUCUGAGACAUCCAUGAUGAUGCAGCAAUCAAUAAUUCCUAGGUCACUGUUCCAGACAAUUAGCUCAGGGACUGAAACCUUAAACCCAUAAGAAUUGCUUCUGCCAGAGAAAUUUCUUUUGGAACAAAAGUUGCUGCCUUUACAUGGUUGGCCACAUGAGAAUGUGCCUUUUCCUGCACUAAUAUUCCCAGGACCUGGUCUUCAGUGCAUGACUGGCCAUUUCUAUAGAUUAUUGUGUUACUAUGGUCGUUCCAGUCUUUGUCCUUUGUCCUAUUGCCUCCACCUGCUACACCACAGUAAUGAGUGGCUUUCAAACACUUGGGAAUCUGAUGCAUUCAUACCAGCCAUGAAGGUCAGGCAAGAACCAGAUACCAGGAAUUUAUGUAGCCAUAUCUUGGAAUAUUGUUUGGCCUUAUUAAACUAUGAGAGAGAGACAGAGAGAGAACUGUUGUAUCAAAGUGAUUUGUCCUUUGCACCAAAAGAAUCCAUUCAUCAAUUUCUUUUACCAAUUGCCACCUCAGGUUGUUUGGGCUUUUAAAGGCACAACACAUUGACAAGGGGAUUAAUUGUAGAUGAAACCAGAAAAAAAAAUUGUGGCCUGAUAAUAUAUCCAUGUCUAAGAAUGAAUCAUUUUGGAUUUGGGUGUCCAAGUGUCAGGUUAAUUUCUUUAUCAUUGAUUAAAAUUGUGGAUUUUAGAGAUUUAACAUUUUAUGGCUUUCAUAAAAAUUUUCCUGUUUGAUACAAAGCAACAAUGUUCAGUGCUUUUACUAUAAGCAUCAUCAUCCAAAAUGAGACUGGUAGAUUAGAAUUGGAACUGAACAAUUUUGAUGAUCAAAUAGCAUUUUGCUGCAUAGGAACCAUCAUGAUGAAGACUGAAUCAUAAAGCAAUUCAUCAUAUUCAACUGCUGGAAAAAGAAGAUUAAAUGGAAAAAGAAGAUUAAAUUCAUCAUAUCCUGUUUCUAAGUAAAUAAAAGUAAAAAUUAAAUGAUCAAUCAUUGUCAGAGACCUUUUAUUCUCAUUAGCCAAAAAUGUCAUCAGAGUUGCAAUUGCUUUGGACCAUAAAUGGAGAUAUAAACUAGGAGAGAUGUAUCUAAAUGAAGGUACAAUGUACUGAAACAAGAUGAGGAAAGGAGAUCAUUUCUAAGUUGUCUUCAGAUCCCAUAUAGAUGGGAGCCCUGGAAAUAAAAAUGUUUUCUAUCCAUAGAUCAUCUCUAGCAUUCUCUAAUGACACUACAACUGCAAAUUUGUUGCUGAAACCUUAAAUUUAAAUCAGGGAAAAAAAAAAGCAGGAGAAAUUGGAUGUAUACACAACAUUAUCUGAAUGAAGCUUGGGAUGUGGUUUACACCUACAGCUUUCUCAUCUGGUACAGCUCCAACCUCGCCUUGGCCUCCGGCAACAGAUCGUCCGCCCUCCAGUCCUGCACCAGGUGCGCUUGCUUCGAUGCCCACGACAGCGUGUUGAGCACCUCGGCGUCCGCCAGCUCCUGGCUGUCGGGCACGUGCAUGGCAAUGUAGCACAGCAGGACCAACGCCUCGACCUGCACCUGCUCCCCCAGGUACACCAGCUGGAUCAGGUGCCUCGCCCCUCCGGCCUCGAUGAUGGCCUGCGAGUGGUUGACGUGCAGGUAGUUCUCGGUGCACGCGAACUUGGUCAGCGCCGCCACCGCCUCGCUCAUCACCGUCGCUUCCGUCUCGUCGAGCAGGCGCACCAGCGGAGCGAUCACCCGGGACUCGGUCGCCCGGAACGUCCUCGACAGGCAGCCCAGGGCCGUCACGCUGGGUACCAGCAGGUCGUCGUGCUCCCCCUUCUCGACGAUGUGUAAGAGCUGGUCGAUGACCGCCUUGCACGCUGGCGAGUUCGGCUUGAAUGCGGAGCGCCGGAGGUCGGCGUUGUGCUCGGCCACGCGGGUGAUUUCCAUCAGUGCCAUGGCGGAAUUGUGUCGAACAUCUCCCGUGCCUUUCUCCAGGAGCACCGCGAAGCAGAGGAGGGCUCGGGACUCGGUGAGGUUCCUGCAGAUGUCGGCGUUGCCCCUGGCGAGCUGCCACAGGGCCUUGGCUGCCAUGGCCUUCAUCUUGGCCUUGGUGCUCCGGUCCUCCAUUUCCCUCGCCCUGUUGCCGGACCCCGACAGAGAAUGCUGCUGGGGCUUCCAGGGCGCGGUUGUGCUGGUGACGCUGUUUGAGUUCAGGGCGAGUCUACUGACCUUGGCGGAGGCCACCGUGGACUGCACGACGGAGUGGAAUUGAUAGCUUUUGGACUGAUCUUCCGGAUGCGAGAGCAGACACCGGUCCUUGGCGUCGUCGAAGGAGGAAUCGGACGCGGCGGCCUUGUUGGCUAGUACAACGGAGUGGAUGGACAUGGCCUUGGACGGCACGGAGUACUUGCUAUGUUCUUGGAUGGUCUCGAAGGCGAGGUGGCCGACAAGGAGGCGGACGACGUUGUUCUUAGCGAAGACGUCCUGGCACUUGGAAUUGUUGGCGGCUAGCUCGGCGACGGCCCACGCGACGACGGCCUGGACCUUCAUGGGCCCGUCCUUGAGGACCUUGCCGAAGGCGGAGCAGACUCCAGCGGCGACGAGGCAGUCAACGCUCUCCCGGUCGCGGCCGAGGAGGCCGAGUGCGCGGGCGGCAUUCUCCUGCCCCUCCGCCUUGCCCUCCUUGAGCAGGCGGAGGAGGGGCGCGACGCCGUCCUCUUCGAUGAUGAGCUUGGCGAAGUGCUGGUUGUCGCGGGCGAGGGAGACGAGGGCGGCGGCCGCCUCGGAUCGGGCGUCCGAGUGACCGGUGUGGAGCGUGGCGAUGUUGCUCCAGAUGAGGGUGAGGAUGGGCUCGUUCUGGGCGAUGGGGCACAGGCCGUGGAGCAGGCCGUCGUCGUCUCCAGCGGGCGCGGAGACGCGGAGGAGCCAGGAGACAUCGGCCACAGAGUUGUCGAUCUGGAUGAACAUCUUGGAGAAGGCGGCACCGGGGGUGAUGCUGAAGAGGCGGUGCACGAGGACGCGGUUGCGGCAGCGGUAGACAAGGCCCAGGGCCUUAUCGAGGACCUGCUCGGUGUCAUCCAUGAUGCGGCGGGCGGGGCGCUCGUAGAGCUCGGCCCGGGCGGCCUGGCGGAGGAGGGUCGCGAGCUUGUCCGCCCGCGCCUUCAGCUCCAAGCACUCCUGCUUGUUGGUCUGGGCACUCCCAGCCGACUUGCUCACCUGAUCCGCCAGCUGGAUCGGCUUCGCCAGGAUCUGCUUCGUCCCCUCCGCCAUUUCCUCCUGCUCCCGACACUCGAGCUUGUCGUCGACGGAAGAUGAAGAGGUCUCGCAGCGUCAAUACACCACUCCUGAUCGGUACGUACUGCUCACACCCUCCCCUGUCCCACCGGCUCUUCGGGCACCGCUUAAUGGUCGGUCCCGCGUGUGGUCCCCAUGAAUCACUUUCCAAUCACAAUGCAUGAGCAGGUUAACUAAUGUUGGGUACGUCACCCAAAGCAUCCCGAUCCGAUCUGAUUAAAUCCGGAUCUGAGACAACUCAAGCUCGAUCCAAAUUUAAUGGGUCGAAUCGAAAUCAUCCAAUUAAGAUCCGGCCCGAAUUCAAAUUUGAUCCAAUAAGGAAUCGACCUGAUAUGGUUCCACCAUUUCUUGGAUCCGAGACAACCCCGGUAAUCAUGGAAGACGGUGUCCCCGUCCCUGGUAAUGUGGUCGUCGAGGCAAACACAAGCGCGCGCAAGUCACGGAGAAUGGUCAACUCUCUUUUGCACUCUGGUAAUCAUGGCUGUUUGACCACUUGAGUUAUUGGUUCUAAAGAGCAUUUUAAUCUUGCUUUUACGUGCCUGAAAGCCUCAUUCUUCCUUUUGCAUACAGCAAACAGAAUACAAUGACUUUUUGAUCAUUCUAUAAGACUAUAUCUGGUCCGUGGUGUACUACUUCUAAACACCAAACUAUUAGCCUUGUUUUAGUUGUAGAUUUAUGCAUGUUUUGAUCUCUACUUGUUAUGAUUCUGUAUCAGUUUAAUUUGCUAAUUUAUGUGCAAUUCAAGCAUGCAAGACUAUAAAUGGAAUUUAUCUUUGAUGUAACAUAACUCAGAUUAUAUUUCCUUUUUCCGUUGUGCUGUUAAGGUUAAAAGAAUCAGGAGUGCAGCUCCUGGAACUUUUAAGGUUAAGAGUGCACCACAUCAAACAGUUGAUUAAUCAUAUACAACCGUAUGACGUGAUCUACUGAAUUGUUAUUUGUUGGAUGCUAUUCAUGUUCUGCUAGAGGUUUGAGAAGGUUGAGAAAUUGGCGGGCUUUGUAGACCAUGAACAACACUUCUUAAGGUUUCAACUUUAGAAGGAUGUGACGAUGCUGUCGAUAUUUGGUUAGUGCUUAGAUAAUAAACAACCUAAGAACUCCAAGCAGUGCUGGCUUUAGACCAUCAUUUUUAUAUUUCACUAUAUAUAAAAAUUAUUGAAUAUGCGCAUGGUUUCAGCUUUCAAUGAAGUGCAAUAGGCAUUGGGCUUGCAUCUGGGAAGUGCACAGCCUUUGAACACCAAAGCAAAUGCUUGUUUUGACCAUCAUGUGUAUAGUAAUACAUGUAUUCAUGUGAAGCUAUCAGUAAACACAUGCAUUGGCUAAGUUAAUAAUGCUCUCUGUCAUACAGGUAAUCUCCUAUUUUCUUUAAUCUAAUUGCUUCUAGUAUAUCUUCUAGGUGCUUUGAGUGACAGCGUGACUACUAUAAAGAGUCAAGGUAUUUGUUGCGAGGAACAAUUGUAUGCCGUGGCCUCGGGGCCGACGCGGCUUGGUUCGGGUCCGGAAGGCGGGGAUCUCCCUGGGGCGCUCCUCGAGCCCGCUAGGGUGGUCGUGGGCGAGGUCCGAUCGGGACGGUAUAGUCGUCUCUUCCAGGCAGGAACUCCUCGCCUGCGGGGCCGACGAGAUCCUUUGGCUUCGCCCCUGCAUAAAGGUUGGGCCGGGGUGCUCGGCCCGACCCCUCCGACGAUCAAGUUAGAUGGAGAUGUGGAGGGGGUUUGUUUAGUGAAGAAGUCCCCCUCCCCCCUUCGUUUAGGACUCGGGGGUAUUUAUAAGGCAGUUUAGCGUUACCUGAUGUGCCUGCCUGCGGGAGACAGGAUCGUACCUCUGAUGGCGUCUGACAUUGCCAUUGACGUUGCGUGGAGAAUCGAGCUGCCGCAGGGUAUGGGCGAGCUUCGGUCGUCGUCCUCUGCCUCGGUCAAGCGCGCGGGGUCAGACAACGAUGAAGUCAUUGUCUGAGGGCAGAUGACAUCAGCACAUGUCGAGUCAGCAUUAUUGUCCUCCUUUUCGGGCAGAGUGGCACCCAGGUCAUGUUAUUCAUGAUUUCUGGAGAAUAUUACUUUAGUAAACUGAUAGCAGGAGAGCAAUUUCUUCAGUUGCUUUUGUCUCCUCCCAGUAUUCUAUUUGUCAAAUUGCUGAUGGUUGACAACUGAAGCACAUAAAUAAUAGAAAUGAACCCGGGGGUCUAUAUACACACCUUACCUUUAUAUUUGCAUAGAGACGGUUUCCGAGAUUUGAAUUUGAGUUAUUCAUGGUUUUUGGAGAACAUCACAUUUGAUGAUUUUAAUUCUUUUCUGAUUCUUUUCAUUCAAUUAUAUAUUGUCAAAGUGUGUUAUGUUGUGAUGAUACAGUUAGAUGUUUUGACUACCUGAUGCCUGUGUUUGCAGAUACCUGUGAACAUGGCAGAGUUGUGGGUUUCCACUUUCAAUGCUUCCCAGUUUAUGCUUCCAAUCCUCUAAACAAUCCUCUUUAUAUAUGCUAAUAUGAUGGACUUUACAUCCAAAUGUUUUUUUGUCCAGGGAAGAAUAAUGAGAAGAGGGAAGCAAAGGAUAAGUUGGAUUCUUGCAAUCUCAAAAGACUGAUAAAGAGGAAAAAGAACAGGGAAAUCCUUUCAACUUGGUUAAUUUUCAGUUGUUAAGUCAGUCAUUCUUAAUUAGGAAUAAAUCUGUUCUCUCUUUUUUUUU